GCCGCGGUCCCGACCCGGGAACACGCCGCAUGCACUCGGGAUCAGCGGCUACUGCGGAAACCCACCCGCACCUGUCUCGGGUCCUCCCAGGCACGAGAGGUUUCCCCAAAGCGAGACUCCCCUAGGACUGCCAUCUAAUGAAUAAAUGCUGCGGAGACCAGGUCCUCAAAGAGGGAAACAGCCCAGCAGUGGCAGGAGAGAGGAGUUUGAAAUACGUGGACUUUUACAAACAGUGAUUGGACCAUGUGUCGCCCUUAAUGUGGUCCGGUUUCAUGACUCAGGCUAAUUGAUGCCAGUAAUAAAUUUUUUUAAGAUAGCUAAUAAAAGAGUUGUGAAU
rnacentral:lncRNA from 1 species